rnacentral:lncRNA from 1 species
GGUUCUCUCGACCUCCACUCCCCGCCGGAGUCGCCGCCGCUCCUCCGCCGGUGUGCCACCACGCUGGAGAACAUAGCGAACCCGAUGAGCGCCGGAGCUCCGCUGGGUUCCGCCUUCCCGCGUCGGCAUCAGACCUAAGAGAAAGCCCGCACUGGUCUUGGUCCUCUCUACCUUUCUCACUUUCUAAUUUCUUCUCCCAUGAUAUUCUUCUCUUUUUCUAGUUCGUGUUCUUUGAUUUGGUAUAGACGAUAUAUAUGAAGACACUCGGGAGUUCCCACAACAAGGUAAGAUUUUUCAUGUGCCUUAGGUUUUUGACCUUUUCUCAUUAAAACAGAUGCAAGAGAUGCCAAAGAAGUAGAAUUUGGGAGCUAAUUGUCAAAAUCCCGUAUUUAUGGAACUUAGGUACUUGUUUGAUUUUAUUAUUUUUAUCAGUGAAAUGAUUAGGAAAUUCCGUGAUAAAGGUAAAUAGAAAACAGGUCUUGAAUUCCAUGUUCUUAUGAGAGCGUCGCUUGGUUUCUUUUGUGCUCAUUACAUUCAUCUUGGAUAAAUUGAACUUCUUGCGAAGCUAUUUUGACUGCCAUAUCAAGUCUAGCAUCUUAUUUAAUUUUUUCAUCAUAAACUUGAUUUGUGAUCUACUUGUUAGUAUAACGAAUUGAUAUAUAUGCUUUUAAUUUUCCUUAUGUUCUGUCCUGAUGACCAUCAAGUGAUUAUUUGUUCAACCCGUUCCUAUAGCUUGAGCUAACAAGCUUCAUUUAACAUUAAAAAAAUCCAUGUUUGUUGACACAAGAAUCACUGUUAUCAUGAUUCAAGUCAUCGUAUCACAUCAAGAUCUUCUUCAGGGGCAAUAGCACAGGAACCGGAUGUCUAGAUGAUGGUGACCUUCACCAACUUGCCCACUUUCUUUUUAUCACUUGGCUGUCUAAUCCAUCAAGAGAAUUGACUUUACAUGGGUUAAUCGAAUUAGCCUACUUGAUUUAGCUCAAUGCUGUCUGAUUCAAACUUAAGUAUAAAUCCAAUUAUCCUUUAGUACAAGCCGCCAUAUCCCAUUUAAUAAAAUGGGUACGGUAGUGUCUAAAUGAGACCCCUUAUAGUAUUUAGUGGACAUUUGCCCAGGGUUUGUUUGAAUACCUUGGUAAGUUAUGUGUGGCCACCCUUGUGCAAGCCUUGAGACCAACUCCUAACUCCUAAUUACAUUGAACUAAGUCAGAUGAUCUUGGUAACUGAUACCAGUACAGCUAUAGUGUUCGUUCCAAAACUGAUCACAAGGGCAACCUAUUGAAUCAGCAGGAUAUGCUUCCUGGAGAAAUUAGUUUCCAUCUAUGCAAACAUGUAUCUUGACUUAGACCAAACAGUAAGACUUAUCGUCCAUUUAGACUACUGUAGUAGGUAUGUCACUUGUACUUUUUGUUUCAUGCUGAACACAAUAUGUCUAGACGGCAGAUACACAAUUGAGAGUUGCUACUUGAAACAUGAUCAGGUAUCCAUCAAAUCUCAGAAAAGUUGAUGAAUUUUAAGCUUGAAAUUGUCUUCUAUGAUGCAUUGUCUGUUCAAUUCAGCCCUUAAAAAUUAGUAGUAAAUUAGUUGCCUUGGAUUGAAUUCUGCUAAGUGGAAUUGUUCUGAGCUUUUUUUCACCAGUGUAAUUUUGCUGUCGUGACAAAAGGUUUUCUAAGGAGUACAGUUUUCUUCCCGCUGGAGCAGAAAUCCUUGUUGCAGCUUCUGUCAUUGUAUUUAUUAUAUGGCUUUAUGCUUUGUUACAUUGAUCUUUCCAAAUGCCACUUGAUUCUCCUUUGAUCUAGAAAAUAUCAAUCACUUGAGAAAAAAAGAGGAUUAUAUUUGCAGCUUCCAACUUGUUGUGGAUGUGGCAAGAAAAUAUGAUGUGUUGCCAUUUGCAUAUAUUGGAAUGGUUUUUUUAUUUUUUACUUGUUUCCAUAAGACAUUUGUCUACAAGAGUUAACUGCUCUUUUUUUUUCGUAAUAAUAGUUCCAAAAACAAAAAGAAGUCAGAAGAGCUGUUUGACAAUAGAACCCCAGAAACAACUUCCUUAGUCAGACAAUAAAUUAAAACCUAAAAGAAGUGCAGGAAAUGAGGCAAUUUAGAGAGCUUUUGUAUAUUGAAGUAGGUGCAUAUGUUUCUGGCAGAAAUAAUAUAGCAAAGUGAGACAUUAUCUGCUGUUUGUUGUAUAGGACAAAUUGGUAUUCCAAAGAUAUAGUCAAGCAGACCAUAUUAUCUACAUGCUAUCAUAUAGCAGAAGACUAAAAGAAGGCCAUGCCUCAUACAAGUCCCCUUUAAACUUCUAGACACUAUCCUCAAGUCUAUAAGAGAGCAUAGUUUUAUUGUCAUGACUUGAGUUCAAUAACCAUGUCUGCUAAGAGCCCCAAAAAAUAUUUAAAGUCAUUCUUUACAGUGGAUAGUGACUCAGAUACUUGUUGAAACCUUGUCCACUGAUCUCAUCCAAGGUAUUACAAAUCCAAACUAUAGUUUUGUAUUUUUCUUUAUAUAUAUAGGGCUAUCACAGAUGCAUCACUUUAUGCAUUGUAAUAGCCAUCCACUUCAAGUUGCAUCACUCCAUGCUUGUGUGUUGUUGCACUUCUAGAAGCUGAGCCACCUCCUCCACACACCCACACCCC